rnacentral:rRNA from 1 species
GACGAACGUUGGCGGCGUGCUUAAUACAUGCAAGUCCACUGAAGCCGUGGUAGCAAUAUCGCUGUGGAGGUGGCGCACUGGUGAGUAACGCGUAGGUAAUCUGCCUUCAGGUCUGGCAUAACUCCGGGAAACCGGGGCUAAUAGCAGAUGAUGCAGCGGCUCGACAUCGAGACAGUUGUUAAAGCUAUGGCGCCUGAAGAUGAGCCUGCGUCUGAUUAGCUAGUUGGCGGGGUAACGGCCCACCAAGGCAACGAUCAGUAGCUGGUCUGAGAGGAUGAUCAGCCACACUGGAACUGAGACACGGUCCAGACUCCUACGGGAGGCAGCAGUAAGGAAUAUUGCUCAAUGGGAGAAAUCCUGAAGCAGCAACGCCGCGUGAGGGACGAAGGGCUUUUGCUUGUAAACCUCUGUAGUGAGAGAAAAAAAUCCCAAUCUUUGGGACAUGAUGGUAUCUCAAAAGUAAGCCCCGGCUAACUACGUG